rnacentral:lncRNA from 1 species
UUACGUAAGCAUCAAUAAUCAAUACCGUGUGCUACUAUGCAACCACGCGUAUUACUGUACUUUUACCACCGGAUAGUUCAACAGUUAACGAUAAAACUUUUGCCGUUAUUUUUAUAAAAAGAUAUUUCUGUCGUUUUCUAAUUCCGACAAUAAUUUUGUUGUGGGGUCCACCAAUGAUUAUGUCAUCGUACGAAUAUUUUAUGUUUAAAAUGAAUAUUCCCCAACCAAUCGAAU